CAGUAGCCGCGGUAAAACGUAGGUGGCAAGCGUUGUCCGGAAUUAUUGGCCGUAAAGGGCUCGCAGGCGGUUUCUUAAGUCUGAUGUGAAAGCCCCCGGCUCAACCGGAGAGGGUCAUUGGAAACUGGGAAACUUGAGUGCAGAAGAGGAGAGUGGAAUUCCACGUGUAGCGGUGAAAUGCGUAGAGAUGUGGAGGAACACCAGUGGCGAAGGCGACUCUCUGGUCUGUAACUGACGCUGAGGAGCGAAAGCGUGGGGAGCGAACAGGAUUAGAUACCCCUGUAGUCCCUGUCUCUUAUAA
rnacentral:rRNA from 1 species